GACGCCUCCGCUAAGGUGGAGCAUGGACAGGGCCGGACACGGAGCCCCAGCCAGCAGGUGAUUUUCUUCUAGGGGAACAUCAAAUGGAGUAGAGGCCAAAGAGGCUUACAUGUGCCCACCGAGCAGCGUGUUCUGCAGUACCGCUGUGAGCCGGGGAAUGCUGGUCCGUGGGUGCCCUCAGGGGUGAGCACAUUCCUGAACCCUGUGUACUCUCUGUUGUGUGCUGGAGGAAGUCCCCACGUGGAGUGCGGGGUGGCACCUGGUACCCAGGAUGCCCCGAGUUCUUUGGGCAGCAGGAGGGACAGCAGGAGCACAUGUCAGCUGACCUCUGUGGGAGCAGCAUUGAGGACCUGCGGACCCCGGGCCAGGCAGACAGGAUCUGGAUGCGAGAUGUGGCGGCUCCACCCAUGCUCCUGACCCGGAUACAGGGCUUCCUGUGCUGUUCUGGGUCAAGAAAAGAAAGCCCAGUAACUGUGGGGUCUUCUGUUCCAUCCUCUGCCUGGUUGGUGGGGGGGGGGUGUAGGGUACCAGGGAUCAAACUCAUGACUUUGCUCUUGCCUGGCAGGUCUGGCCCUCUGCCUGGUUUUUAUAACUAGCUUCUGUCAGGUGCAUGCCUGUAUCGCAGCUGUUCUGAGGUGCUGCCGUGGUUUUGGUGUAGUCCGUGGUAUGGUGCUCAGUGUGGGGUGGGAGGCAAUGGACCUCGAAGGGGCCGAGCCUGAUGGGAGCUCUUUAAGGCACUAGGUGCUAUGAAGGGAUUGCAGGACCUAGGCCUCCCCAGGGUCCUGCAGGGCCAUGUGACUUCUCCCUGACACUCCUGCUGUGAUGUGGGCCCUCAGGAGAGCAGAACAGAUGCUGUGUCAUACAUCACACCUCCAAAACAGUGAGCUAAAUAAAACUUUUCCUUAUGAGAUAA